GACGAACGCUGGCGGCGUGCCUAAUACAUGCAAGUAGAACGCACAGUUUAUACCGUAGCUUGCUACACCAUAGACUGUGAGUUGCGAACGGGUGAGUAACGCGUAGGUAACCUGCCUGGUAGAGGGGGAUAACUAUUGGAAACGAUAGCUAAUACCGCAUAAUAUUAAUUAUUGCAUGAUAAUUAAUUGAAAGGUGCAAUUGCACCACUACCAGAUGGACCUGCGUUGUAUUAGCUAGUAGGUGAGGUAACGGCUCACCUAGGCGACGAUACAUAGCCGACCUGAGAGGGUGAUCGGCCACACUGGGACUGAGACACGGCCCAGACUCCUACGGGAGGCAGCAGUAGGGAAUCUUCGGCAAUGGACGAAAGUCUGACCGAGCAACGCCGCGUGAGUGAAGAAGGUUUUCGGAUCGUAAAGCUCUGUUGUAAGAGAAGAACGGGUGUGAGAGUGGAAAGUUCACACUGUGACGGUAUCUUACCAGAAAGGGACGGCUAACUACGUG
rnacentral:rRNA from 1 species